GCCGUUAGAGAUUCCAAGUUUGAUGUAAAAGCAUGGGUUUGUGUCUCCGAUGUCUUUGAUGUUUUGGGCAUCUCAAAGGCACUUCUCGAGUCAAUCACCUCCGCAGCUAGUGAUCUCAAGACUUUAAAUGAGGUGCAGGUUCAACUGAAAAAAGCAGUGGACGGAAAAAGAUUCUUGCUGGUCUUAGAUGAUGUUUGGAACGAGGAGUACAGCUUGUGGGUAGACUUAAAAGCUCCGUUCCUGGCUGCUGCACCAAACAGUAAGAUGAUCGUCACCACACGCAAUUCAAAUGUUGCAUCAACAAUGGGACCAAUUGAACAUUACAAUCUCAAGAGUCUGUCAGAUGAUGAUUGCUGGUCCAUUUUCAUAAAGCAUGCAUUUGAAUCUAGAGAUCUUAACGCACAUCAAAUUUCAGAAUCAUUCCGCAAGAAAGUUGUUGCCAAGUGUGGAGGCUUGGCCCUGGCAGCAAAAACACUCGGAGGCCUUCUGCGUACGACGAGGCAUGAUGCGUGGGAUGAUAUAUUAGAGAGCAAAAUAUGGGAUUUACCUCGACAAAGUGGGGUUCUCCCAGUAUUAAGAUUGAGUUACCAUCAUCUUCCUUCUCAUUUGAAAAGAUGUUUGGCUUACUGUGCAAUCUUUCCAAAAGAUUAUGAAUUCAAUGAGAAGGAGGUGACUUUUUUAUGGAUGGCCGGAGGUAUUAUUCGACAGUCAAGAAGCAAAGAGCGGCUAGAAGAUUGGGGCAGCAAGUGCUUCCAUGAUCUGGUGUCAAGGUCAAUUUUUCAGCAAACAGCAAUCUCUGAUAGUUGUAAAUUUGUAAUGCAUGACCUUAUCCAUGAUCUUGCUGAAUUGGUUUCUAGAGAGACCAUUUUCAGGUUAGAGGAGUCCACCAACUUGUCGUCAAGGGGAUUUGAAAGAGCUCGCCAUUCUUCCUAUGCCCGUGAUUGGUGUGAUGGUAGAAAUAAGUUUGAGGUUUUCUAUGAAAUUGAACAUCUACGAACAUUCUUGCCAUUACGCAUAAGAGGUGGCACUAAUACUAGUUACAUAACUCGAACGGUUCUAUCUGACUUGCUGCCAAAGUUCAAAAGGUUGAGAAUGCUAUCUUUACAAGGAUACUGUAUUGGUGAGUUACCAAUUCCAUUUGAAGAGUUGAGACUUUUAAGGUUUCUCAACCUUGCUGACAUUGACAUAAAAAGUUUACCUGAGUCAACCUGCAAAUUGCUGAACCUGGAAAUUUUGAUAUUAAGAAAUUGUUCCCGUUUGAUAAAGCUUCCACCCAAGAUGAGGAAUUUGAUCAAUUUAAACCAUCUCGAUAUAAGAGGUGCGAAGUUGCUGAAGGAGAUGCCAUGCGGAAUGAAAGAGUUGAAGAAGCUUCGAACAUUGUCCAAUUUUAUUGUGGGCAAGCGUGAAACUGCAUCCGGUUUGGAAGAUUUAAAAUGUUUAAACUUUCUUUGUGAUGAACUUUGCAUUGCUGGAUUAGAGAAUGUGAAUAAUCUACAGAAUGCAAGAGAAGCCGCAUUAUGUGAGAAGCACAAUCUUGAAGCAUUGACUCUAGAUUGGGUGUCUCAAUUUGGCAAUUCUCGAGAUGUAGCAGUAGAAGAGCACGUGCUUGACAUUCUACAGCCUCAUAAAUGUAUAAAAAAGGUGGCGAUCAGGAACUAUGGUGGUGCAAGAUUUCCCCUUUGGAUAGGAGAUCCUUUGUUCUGCAAGAUAGAGCUCCUUGAAUUGGAGAACUGUGACAAUUGUGUCUCUUUGCCGUCGCUUGGCCGUUUGAGUUCACUUAAACACCUUGCUGUUAAAGGGCUGAAGAAACUAAAAAGCAUAGAGUCUGAGGUUUAUGGGGAGGGUUUCUCAAUGCCUUUUCCAUCAUUGGAGAUUCUAAGUUUUGAGAAUUUGGCAGAAUGGGAGCAUUGGGACACUGAUAUCAAAGGAAAUGUGCACGUUGAAAUAUUUCCUCGUCUCCACAAACUUUCCAUUGUGGAAUGUCCCAAACUCUCUGGAGAACUGCCUGAGCUCCUGCCCUCCUUGGAGACACUUGUUGUUAGUAAAUGUGGAAAGUUGGUAGUUCCAUUGUCUUGCUAUCCGAUGCUCUGCAGAUUAGAAGUUGAUGAGUGCAAGGAACUAGCGUGCGGGACUCCAAUUGAUUUUAAGUUGAUAAAGUCUGUGACUAUUUCAAAUAGUUCCUUAGACAUGAAUGGAUGCAAGGGGAUGCUAUACGAUGGUCUAGCUGGCUCUUCACUGCCAAAGCUCAUGAUUACUACGCAGAUAGACGAUUUUUAAAUCCAAAGUUUUUUGAUCCACUUCAAUUAGCAUUUAUUUUUUCCCCCAAAACAGGCAAGCCGAGAGUUUCAAUCAAGAAUUGGAGGAUGUGAAUGGGAUUUUUGUGAAAACAUAAUGGAUGAACGAACAUUUCAUCUGUGAUCUCAAAGUCAACAGAAUUUUAUUUACUCAUUGACUUUUCAACUCCUGUGGUUAUUUAUGGGUGAAAGAUAAGGGCAAUUACAAGAAAUUUGCAAACUUUGUCAACUUCUUUUAAUUGUACCAAUUUGUCGUUUAUGUUUUAGUUUUAUUUUUUCAGUUUUGUUUAUUGCUUAGAUGGUAGAUAUAUCGACAUUUUAGAUUUCAGAUAUUUGUCACCAGUUUCAUUCCCUUUUUUUUCGUUUUUUUAAGCUAGUUUGACUAAUUUUAACCAGAAUUAGAGUAGAAUAUUUUGGAGCGAGCAUACUCUGCUGUACCGUACAUCCGCCUUGGCCGUACAGCAGAAAAGGCUUGAGAUAGAAAAUUGUGAGAAAUUGCAACGUCUGUUCGAUGAUGAAGGGGAUGCUUCUUCUUCUUCUCCUUCAUCCUCCUCUUCCCCAGUGAUGCUGCAACUCCUGAGAAUAGAGAAUUGUCGAAAGCUGGAGUCAAUACCGGAUGGCUUGCCCAAUCUUAAAUGUUUACAGAGCAUUUGUAUACGGAAAUGUCCAAGUCUUGUUUCCUUCCCAGAAAGAGGGCUUCCCAACACGAUUUCAGCGGUUUACAUUUGCGAAUGUGACAAGCUUGAAGCCCCGCCCAAUGACAUGCACAAACUCAACUCUCUUCAAUCUUUAAGCAUAAAGUGGUGUCCAAAUCUUGUAUCGUUUCCAGAAGAAGGUUUUCCCACCAAUCUAACAUCACUUAUAAUUGGAAAUCCCAAAAUGUAUAAGACACUCGUCCAGUGGGGGUUGCACAGGCUUACCUCUCUUAGAAACCUCGUCAUUUUUGGAUGUGAUGAUGAAGCAGAGUGUUUUCCAGAAAAGGAGAUAGGAAUGACGCUGCCCACAUCUCUCACUCAUCUGAACCUUUCGGGAUUCGAAAAUUUGAUAUCUCUGUCUUCGACGGGUUUUCAGAGCCUCAACUCUCUUCAAUAUUUGUGGAUCUCGAGUUGCCCAAAUCUCACAUCAUUUCCAGAGGUGGGCCUUCCAUCCUCACUUUUGAUAUUAGGCAUUUACGAAUGUCCAAAGCUUAAAAGAGCGUGCAAAAGAGAUCAAGGAAAAGAGUGGCCCAAAAUUGCUCACAUCCCUCGCGUUUUGAUAGACGAUAUAUUCAUAUACGAUCCAGAAUCAGAGGAGUAGAUUCCACUAUUAAGGUCAGUUGAUUUCUAUUAUCUGCUAUAACAAGCUCCUCCUUUUUUUUUCAAAUAAUAAUUUUGCAGUCACUCACGUGAUUCUGUUUUCACAAGUCAGAUUGUAUGUUGAGGCUAUUUGCCUUUUAAUACCAUAGACAGAUAGACGAUUUUUAAAUCCAAAGUUUUUUUAUUCACUUCAGUUAGCAUUUUCUUUUCCCCAAAUCAGGCAAGCCGAGAGUUUCAAUCAAGAAUUGGAGGAUGUGAAUGAGAUUUUUGUGAAAACAUAAUGGAUGAACGAACAUUUCAUCUGUGAUCUCAAAGUCAACAUAAUUUUAUUUACUAAUUGACUUUUCAACUCCUGUGGUUAUUUAUGGGUGAAAGAUGAGGGCAAUUACAAAAAAUUUGCAAAAUUUGUCAAUUUCUUUUAAUUGUACCAAUUUGUCGUUUAUGCUUUAGUUUUAUUUUUUCAGUUUUGUUUAUUGCUUAGAUGGUAGAUAUAUCGACAUUUUAGAUUUCAGAUAUUUGUCACCAGUUUCAUUCCCUUUUUUUCGUUUUUUUAAGCUAGUUUGACUAAUUUUAACCAGAAUUAGAGUAGAAUAUUUUGGAGCGAGCAUACUUGAAAUGAUGCUUUUUAAUUUUGAUCUAGUAAAAAUACAUGGCCCUCACCGGCAGAAUUCUAGCAUUGGCUUUCACCUCUCUAACUCAUCUGUCCCUACUAGGAUUCCAGAAAUUGAAAUUUCUGUCUUCAAUGGGUUUUCGAAGCCUUACCUCUCUUCGAUUUUUGUGGAUCGGGAAUUAUAAAUUUACAGUUGUCAGAAGCUUGAAAAAGUGCGCAAAAGAGAUCGAGGAAAAGAGCGGCCCAAACUUGCUCGCAUCCCUUGGGUUAUGAUAGAUGGAAAAUUCAUAUACGAUCCAGAGUCAGAUGUGUAGAUUCUCUUGCUAAGGUCAGCUGAUUUCUAUUAUCCACUCUGACAAUCUCCUAUCAGUGUUUUUGUUUUUGUAUUUUUUUUUUCAAAUUUUGUUGUUCUGUAUAAUUGAAAAUGCAACUCACUUAUUUCCUUCUUCACAGGUCAGAUAGUAUGUUGAGGCUAUUUGCAGCUAACAGAAUCAUGUUAAAUUUAUGAUGUAUGUUUAUUAGGGAAAUGAAAGAUUCGCUGCAUUAUUUUAUUCCAAGUUUGCUGAAAUCAUCUUUGUUUUCCCGGCUGCUUUCCUGAAUGUAUCGACAUCUAUUUCGAAAAUGUCGGGGGUAAGAUGCGUCGUGCAGUGCUACUCAACAUGAGAAUUCAUCUUCUAACUCGUUACCUGAUAUUAUUGUCUUCUUGAAAAUUUAAUUAAGCUUAGAAGUCCCUUAACCACAAAAUCAAUGGAGUUUAACUCCAUCGAUACACAACUUUUAAGUAAUAAACCAACACAUGAGUUCAUCUCUAUUGAUACUCAAGUUCUAAGUCCCUUAUUCAAUACUAAAAUCCAUGAGAAUUAAACUAACCGUAGUUUAACAUGUGAUUAACAAAUGUUAAAAGGUUCAAAAAAUACAUCAAUUAUAAAAGAAAUAAAAUCAGCAAAGAGACCACAUCAGAAAUUUCUUAGAUGUCCGAAACUAUUAAAAGAAUUCACAGACCAAAUCAAAAAAAGUAGAAAAUGCUUAAGCUCCUUAAGGUAAUUUGAAGUAUGAAAGUGAAUGGCAUAUAAUCCAAUAUAAAAAAAAAAUGGUUUUAGUGCCGUAUAAAGAGAAGUUAAUGGUGGUUACAAAAGUGGGGAAAGUUGAGUACAAAUCAGAUAAUGGGAGGUUCCUAAACUUCCUUCAAUCAAUUUUAAUUUCAAAAAUAAAAUAAUAAAAAAUAAAAAAUAGACUAAAAGAAAUAAGAUAAAAAUUACUUUUCUAAAAUUGCAUGCAAGUAUACAAAAAUAACAUAUGUUGAUAUUACAUCGAGAAAGGUCCAUCAGCCCUAGUUGGGCUAUUCGCUACGUAGAAUGUCGGAGAACAACUUGUUGUGGUAGCUGUUAGGAGAAUAUGCUCUUUAAAAGCAUAUGUGUUUAUUUAAAUGUAAUAAACAUUUUUUCUGAUUAAUAAAAAUAAUGAGGUAUUUUGUGCAAAUAUCUUAAUUGCAUUAAUAUUUUUAUUAAAGUCCAUUUAAUCAUAUUAUAUGUAUUUAUGUGAUCACCAUGUGGAUUCACAGAAGACAUAAAAUACAAGUUAUCUUAUGAUUAAAUAAAUUUAGUUCACAGUUGAUAAAUAAAGUUGGGCACUUUAUUUAGGUAUAGACUGUAAUAAAUUCAUUGAAUGAUUUGUCUUAAUCAUGUAUGAAUUUAUUGAUGUAGUACGACUACAUUGAACAGGAUCACAUAUGAGAUUUAAUUAACUUUGUAAUAACUGUCAGACUUAUUAAAUCUCAUAGGCAUUGAUUUUACUGUAAUCUUAAUCUUGAGUUAAUUAUGAUUUCAUGAUUGUAAUUGUCAUUCCAUUUGAGUUACCAAUGGGCACGACACAUACUUAUGGUCAAGAUUACCCGGUAUCUUGGAACUGCCACACCACAUGUUUUUGACGAGAAAUAAAAACAUCAAGAUAUUGCCCGCUUGCCGUAUUCCACAUCGUGAAUUGUAUCUCUGUUCCUCAAUUUUCAGUGUUCCAUACAUAAAACCAUUUUCAGUUUCUCUUGUUAUCAAUUCAAUUUUCUUGUUCGUGACGAUCUUGAUUCCUUUCUUUCUGGUAAAACGGAGCCAUGUUUGCUGUUGGAGAGGUCUUCCUCAACGCUUUCUUUCAGGUGUUGUUUGACAGGUUGGCUUCUCGUAAUUUGAUCAGCUUUGUGCGUCAACUCCAAGGCGGCGUUGAUUCGGAGCUCAAAAGGUGGGAGAAAAAGCUGAAGAUGAUUCAGGCUGUGCUUAGCGAUGCAGAGGAGAAGCGACUGACUGACGAGGCUGUGAAGAUGUGGCUGGACGAACUCCAAGACUUGGCUUAUGACGCUGAGGACAUUCUUGAUGGGUUUGGUACUCAAGCUUUGGAAAGCAAGUUGAUGGCGAAAAAUCAGGAUAGCACUGGCCAGGUUCUUAGUUUCAUACCGGCUAGUUUGAAUCCGAAUGCUAUUAUGUCCAAUUAUAGCAUGGGAUCCAAGAUUAAAGAUAUUACUAGCCGGUUGGAGCAACUCUGCCAAGAUAGAAUUGAACUUGGGCUGCCACGGAUUGCUGGAGGGGCAUCAUCACCUACUGCUGCUGCACACCAGAGGCCACCCAGUUCAAGUGUCCCAACAGAGCGUGAAGUAUUCGGAAGAGAAGAAGACAAGGCCAAAAUUCUUGAUAUGGUAUUGACCGAUACCCCCAGUGAUCAUGCCAACUUUGUUGUAAUACCCAUUGUUGGCAUGGGCGGGAUAGGAAAAACAACUCUUGCUCGGGAGGUCUACAAUGACAAGGCCGUUGAAGAUUCAAAGUUUGAUGUAAAAGCAUGGGUUUGUGUCUCUGAUGUCUUUGAUAUUUUGGGCAUCUCAAAGGCACUUCUCGAAUCAAUCACCCGCAGGCCUUGUCUUCUGAACAGUUUAAAUGAAGUGCAGGUUGAGUUGAAAGUAGCUGUGGAUAAAAAAAGAUUCUUGCUGGUCUUAGAUGAUGUUUGGAACGAGGACUACAGCUUGUGGGUAGACUUAAAAGCUCCAUUCUUGGCAGCUGCACCAAACAGUAAGAUGAUCGUCACCACAUGCAAUUCAAAUGUUGCAUCAAUAAUGGGACCA
rnacentral:lncRNA from 1 species